CACAAUGGACGCAGGUCUGAUGGAGCAACGCCGCGUGAGUGAAGAAGGUUUUCGGAUCGUAAAGCUCUGUUGUUGGUGAAGAAGGAUAGAGGUAGUAACUGGCCUUUAUUUGACGGUAAUCAACCAGAAAGUCACGGCUAACUACGUGCCAGCAGCCGC
rnacentral:rRNA from 1 species